rnacentral:rRNA from 1 species
GUGCCUAUACAUGCAGUCGAGCGAGCUUGCCUAGAUGAAUUUGGUGCUUGCACCAAAUGAAACUAGAUACAAGCGAGCGGCGGACGGGUGAGUAACACGUGGGUAACCUGCCCAAGAGACUGGGAUAACACCUGGAAACAGAUGCUAAUACCGGAUAACAACACUAGACGCAUGUCUAGAGUUUAAAAGAUGGUUCUGCUAUCACUCUUGGAUGGACCUGCGGUGCAUUAGCUAGUUGGUAAGGUAACGGCUUACCAAGGCAAUGAUGCAUAGCCGAGUUGAGAGACUGAUCGGCCACAUUGGGACUGAGACACGGCCCAAACUCCUACGGGAGGCAGCAGUAGGGAAUCUUCCACAAUGGACGCAAGUCUGAUGGAGCAACGCCGCGUGAGUGAAGAAGGGUUUCGGCUCGUAAAGCUCUGUUGGUAGUGAAGAAAGAUAGAGGUAGUAACUGGCCUUUAUUUGACGGUAAUUACUUAGAAAGUCACGGCUAACUACGUGCCAGCAGCCGCGGUAAUACGUAGGUGGCAAGCGUUGUCCGGAUUUAUUGGGCGUAAAGCGAGUGCAGGCGGUUCAAUAAGUCUGAUGUGAAAGCCUUCGGCUCAACCGGAGAAUUGCAUCAGAAACUGUUGAACUUGAGUGCAGAAGAGGAGAGUGGAACUCCAUGUGUAGCGGUGGAAUGCGUA